rnacentral:sRNA from 1 species
UCCUCGUCCCGCACCGCGCUGCCCGCGCCUA